ACUCCUACGGGAGGCAGCAGUGGGGAAUAUUGCACAAUGGGCGCAAGCCUGAUGCAGCCAUGCCGCGUGUGUGAAGAAGGCCUUCGGGUUGUAAAGCACUUUCAGUCGUGAGGAAGGUAGUGUAGUUAAUAGCUGCAUUACUUGACGUUAGCGACAGAAGAAGCACCGGCUAACUCCGUGCCAGCAGCCGCGGUAAUACGGAGGGUGCGAGCGUUAAUCGGAAUUACUGGGCGUAAAGCGCAUGCAGGUGGUUUGUUAAGUCAGAUGUGAAAGCCCGGGGCUCAACCUCGGAAUAGCAUUUGAAACUGGCAGACUAGAGUACUGUAGAGGGGGUAGAAUUUCAGGUGUAGCGGUGAAAUGCGUAGAGAUCUGAAGGAAUACCGGUGGCGAAGGCGGCCCCCUGGACAGAUACUGACACUCAGAUGCGAAAGCGUGGGGAGCAAACAGGAUUAGAUACCCUGGUAGCACAGAG
rnacentral:rRNA from 1 species